UCCCUGGUGGCUUAGCUGGUAAAGAAUCUGCCUGCAAUGCAGAAGACCUGGGUUCAAUCCCUGGGUUGGGAA
rnacentral:tRNA from 1 species